UCCCUCUCAGGACCGUACCUGGAGAGUUUGCAGUACUCUACCAGUUUCGGCUGUAGAAGGGAGAGUCAAGCAGAGGCAUACCCAUUCCAUUCUUAGCUUGGGCAGUGGCUAGCGAGUAGAAGGCAAGCUGCUACAGGU